rnacentral:rRNA from 1 species
GACGAACGCUGGCGGCGUGCUUAACACAUGCAAGUCGAACGGAGAGGCCUCUUUCGGGUGGUACUCGAGUGGCGAACGGGUGAGUAACACGCGAGUAACCUGCCCUUGACUUUGGGAUAAAUUCAGUAAACUGGGGCUAUUACCGGAUAGGCGCUCAUGCUGCACGGUGGGGGUUGGUAAGUUUCGGCGGUUGGGGGUGGACUCGCGGCUUCUCAACUUGUUGGUGGGGGAGUGGCUUACCAAGGCUUUGACGGGUAGCCGGCCUGAGCGGGUGACCGGCGACAUUGGGAAUGAGGUACGGCCCAGACUCCGAAGGGAAGCAACAGGGGGGAAUAUUGCAAAAUGGGUGGAAGCCUGAUGCAGCAGCGCCUUGUGCGGGAUGACGGCCUUCGGGUUGGAAACCGUUUUCGCGCAUGGCAAAGCUUUGUGUGACGGUAGUGGGUAAAGAAGCACCGGCUAACUACGUG